rnacentral:rRNA from 1 species
CGUACACUCCUACGGGAGGCAGCAGUGGGGAAUAUUGGACAAUGGGCGCAAGCCUGAUCCAGCCAUGCCGCGUGAGUGAUGAAGGCCCUAGGGUUGUAAAGCUCUUUCACCGGAGAAGAUAAUGACGGUAUCCGGAGAAGAAGCCCCGGCUAACUUCGUGCCAGCAGCCGCGGUAAUACGACGGGGGCUAGCGUUGUUCGGAAUUACUGGGCGUAAAGCGCACGUAGGCGGAUCGAUCAGUCAGGGGUGAAAUCCCAGGGCUCAACCCUGGAACUGCCUUUGAUACUGUCGAUCUGGAGUAUGGAAGAGGUGAGUGGAAUUCCGAGUGUAGAGGUGAAAUUCGUAGAUAUUCGGAGGAACACCAGUGGCGAAGGCGGCUCACUGGGCCAUUACUGACGCUGAGGUGCGAAAGCGUGGGGAGCAAACAGGAUUAGAUACCCGUGUAGUCCCA